rnacentral:SRP_RNA from 1 species
GCUGGGUGUUGUGACGGGCGUCUGUGGUCCCAGCUACUCAGGAGGCUGAGGCAAGAGAAUCACCUAAGCCUAGGAAUUGGAGGUUGCUGUGAGCUGUGACGCCACAGCAUUCUACUGAGGGUGACAAAGUGAGACUCUGUCUCUAUUAAAAAAAAAAAAAAAAAAAACUUCAGUAGAUUCAAGGACUUUGAAACAAAGCUGGGUGGGAGUAGAGGAUGAGUUUUUUUUUUUUUGUAGAGACAGAGUCUCACUUUGUUGCCCUUGGUAGAGUGCUGUGGCAUCACAGAGAUCACAGCAACCUCCAACUCCUGGGCCUAAGCGAUUCUCUUGCCUCAG